rnacentral:rRNA from 1 species
AAAUUGAAGAGUUUGAUCAUGGCUCAGAUUGAACGCUGGCGGCAGGCCUAACACAUGCAAGUCGGGCGGUAACACGGGGAGCUUGCUCCCGGGUGACGAGCGGCGGACGGGUGAGUAAUGUCUGGGAAACUGCCUGAUGGAGGGGGAUAACUACUGGAAACGGUAGCUAAUACCGCAUAACGUCGCAAGACCAAAGAGGGGGACCUUCGGGCCUCUUGCCAUCAGAUGUGCCCAGAUGGGAUUAGCUAGUAGGUGGGGUAACGGCUCACCUAGGCGACGAUCCCUAGCUGGUCUGAGAGGAUGACCAGCCACACUGGAACUGAGACACGGUCCAGACUCCUACGGGAGGCAGCAGUGGGGAAUAUUGCACAAUGGGCGCAAGCCUGAUGCAGCCAUGCCGCGUGUAUGAAGAAGGCCUUCGGGUUGUAAAGUACUUUCAGCGGGGAGGAAGGUGUUGUGGUUAAUAACCACAGCAAUUGACGUUACCCGCAGAAGAAGCACCGGCUAACUCCGUGCCAGCAGCCGCGGUAAUACGGAGGGUGCAAGCGUUAAUCGGAAUUACUGGGCGUAAAGCGCACGCAGGCGGUCUGUCAAGUCGGAUGUGAAAUCCCCGGGCUCAACCUGGGAACUGCAUUCGAAACUGGCAGGCUAGAGUCUUGUAGAGGGGGGUAGAAUUCCAGGUGUAGCGGUGAAAUGCGUAGAGAUCUGGAGGAAUACCGGUGGCGAAGGCGGCCCCCUGGACAAAGACUGACGCUCAGGUGCGAAAGCGUGGGGAGCAAACAGGAUUAGAUACCCUGGUAGUCCACGCCGUAAACGAUGUCGACUUGGAGGUUGUGCCCUUGAGGCGUGGCUUCCGGAGCUAACGCGUUAAGUCGACCGCCUGGGGAGUACGGCCGCAAGGUUAAAACUCAAAUGAAUUGACGGGGGCCCGCACAAGCGGUGGAGCAUGUGGUUUAAUUCGAUGCAACGCGAAGAACCUUACCUACUCUUGACAUCCAGAGAACUUAGCAGAGAUGCUUUGGUGCCUUCGGGAACUCUGAGACAGGUGCUGCAUGGCUGUCGUCAGCUCGUGUUGUGAAAUGUUGGGUUAAGUCCCGCAACGAGCGCAACCCUUAUCCUUUGUUGCCAGCGGUCCGGCCGGGAACUCAAAGGAGACUGCCAGUGAUAAACUGGAGGAAGGUGGGGAUGACGUCAAGUCAUCAUGGCCCUUACGAGUAGGGCUACACACGUGCUACAAUGGCGCAUACAAAGAGAAGCGACCUCGCGAGAGCAAGCGGACCUCAUAAAGUGCGUCGUAGUCCGGAUUGGAGUCUGCAACUCGACUCCAUGAAGUCGGAAUCGCUAGUAAUCGUAGAUCAGAAUGCUACGGUGAAUACGUUCCCGGGCCUUGUACACACCGCCCGUCACACCAUGGGAGUGGGUUGCAAAAGAAGUAGGUAGCUUAACCUUCGGGAGGGCGCUUACCACUUUGUGAUUCAUGACUGGGGUGAAGUCGUAACAAGGUAACCGUAGGGGAACCUGCGGUUGGAUCACCUCCUUACCUUAAAGAA